GGUGCGGCGAUUAUUUCACUUGCCUAAGGAACGGGUGUGCUGCGCCCCACUUGCCUAGGGAAAAAACCCGGAAUGUAAAGUCACACUAAAGAAGAUUUGAACACUGUCUGAAAACCUGAGGGUCCAACCAGGGAGGUAACUACUGGAGUUCACUGAGCCUUCUUUUCUAAUUUUUAUUGGGCUGGAAUAAAUGAAAACCUGGCUUGUACCAAAAAAAAUUCUUAGAGCGGAGUCAGUACGGCAACCCCUUAGAGGUCAGAUGCCUCGCCUCACCUUCUUCCUCCCACUUCAGAAGCCAGUUUUAGGACCAAUCCACUAUAGGAGAGGCCUUGAAGCAGGCCCCCAAGGCUCCCCAACAUUUUCCACCGCCAGGAAAACGACUCCGGCUAGCAGUAAGGCAGUCCAGCCUGCCCUUGUCUGAACCUGCGUCCUUGAGACUCAGCCAAACCUCUCCCAGCUUGGCGGAGGGAUGUUGAGGUGACAUUCUUCUCCCUGCCACUCAGCAUCUUUUAAACAGUCCUCCUCCACCUUGGGAGAAUAUGCAUGAACUCACUGCAGACGAGGACCACAGAAGCUGAAAACUCCCUGUCUCCCUGGGAGGGGAAUUCAUUGCAAGUGAAAACUAAGAAUCUGAGAUGUUUCUAAGUUGUUCUGAAGUUCUUGUGGUUGCCAGCGGUAGGAAGAAAUCUCUGUCAGGCGGAGUUAGUGAAUGAGGGACCUAGUUGGCAGGAUGGAGUGUCUCAGGGGGCCGGAUCAGUGGGCCUCAGAAGGACCUGGACUUGAGCCCUGGCAAGGGAGGGGAAGCAGGAGCAGCGACUCCCCACGUCUGCCUGCUGCCAGCUGCACUUGGGUUUCCUCCUGUGCACGGAGUUCACAGCGUCGGGGGCAUGUGGCGGGAGGGGAGCAGGAGGUUGGCACAGGCCUUUUUGGCUCUGGACCACACUGCCUGUAGUGCACCA